AUCAGAGCUCUAGCUUUUUAGGUUGCGCUGCGAUAAACGGGUAGAUCGUCGAUUAUAUUUGUGACUAAUUAUUGUUAGAGAAAUGAUCUUUUUAUCAAUUGGUAGAAAAAAAGAAGUGCUUACACCAUUAUUAGACUCUUGAGGAACCAUAUAAACUAAAAUGGUUCAUGGCAAUAAAUUUUGUCACUAUAUAUUUGUGUUGUUUGACAAGUAUAAAGAAUUUAGUUUCAUAUCUUGUCUCAACUAGUUUGUGUGUUGUUACUCACGAAUAUUUUCGACAAAUAUGCAGGAAAAUAAAAAUAUGGCGUACGUAUUAUUGGUGAAAUUUGAGAAUGCAUGGGAAAUAAAUACAUUUUGUUAGAUUAAUUCAUGACUUGUUAUUUGUGUAGAUUUUCAUGUUUAAGACAACAGGUGAUAUUUAUCUAGUAACGGGAGAAUUACUAUAUCACCAUCUAUCCUCUUUUGUUAAUAACCUUACCAAAUAAAAUGAUUAGUGUUGCCAACUUAUGUUAUAGCAGAUAUAUCCAUAAAUUGUAGAAAAUAUUGCAAUUUUGUUUCAUUAUUUAUAAUUAAUUUUUGAGCAUGAAUUCAAUAAACUGUCCCAAAUAUUAUCAGAGAAUAUUUGACCACUAAAAAAAAUAUAGUGUGUAUGUUAGUGUUGAAUUUCGGGGACGAAAUUCUUACAAGGUGGGAAGGAUGUAAUAACCCAUAUUUUUGGGUUAUUAAUUUAAAUUAAGUUGGGUAUUAAAUUUCUGUUAUCUGUUUAACAUAAAAUAAUUGGGCAAAUAAGUUAUGCUAGAUUCCUGUUUCAAAGAAUUAAAAUAGAGCUGUAAUUUUUGCAUGCAUAAAAUAUUAGAUGGAUAUAAUUACACACUAAGUAAAUAUGUAUAUGUGCACGUAAACUAGCAUCCAUGCACUCACGUUAUGGCGUUAGUAUGCAAAUUAAUACAAAUUAGUGGCUAGUACAGGCUAGCUAGUAAUGAGAAGAUGGCCAAAUACUAGAAGAUGUGCAUGCAUGUAAUGAUGAGAAUGCACACGUAUGUACUAUCCUUACAAGCUAAGUAAAAUCCUCUGCAUGAGAGGGCCAACGUGGCCUGGUACUAGAUGAAGCUAGGUUGUGUUGGCAGCACCCUUAGAUAUUUAGGACAAUUUCAGCACCCUUAGAUAUUUAGGACAAAGAAAUUGCUACGUGGAGGUUUUGUAUAGUGGUCAGGUUUGUUUGGCUUUUGCACAAGCAAAAGGGCCAGCAGUUCGAAGGGUCAAGGGGCAAGGGUGAAAGGCCAUUGCGGCUUAGAUCUUUUACCAGGUUCUCCACGUAGACCAAGGCAUGCAUGCCACGUAAUAGGUAGAGUCCAGAUGAUCGUGUGCUUCAAGAACAGCUCAGCUGAGUUCACUCUGGGCUCACCAUCUAUAAAUAGCUGCUGCUACUCGUUUUGCACAUCCUCAUCACCAAGAGUGAGAGCAUGAGAGAAAUAGAGCGAAGAGAAGAUACUAGGAGAGAGCAUGAGAGAAACAGAGCAUACCAGCGGAGAGAGCGAAGAGAAGAGAGAUGAAGAAUACAAGUAUGCAUGCGUCCAUGUUUGAGGAUAUAUAGAUCGUGUAGAUGCUGAUGGAGGGAAGAACAAAGCCAUACGUCAGAAGAAUAUUAGUAUAUGCGCGUUCGUCAGAUUUUAUACAAAGAUGAUGGAGUUUCAUCUUCUUGCAGAAUAUUAUUCUAAAGGAGAAAUCAUAUUAUCCGAGGCAAGUAGCUGCUUUGCUAAAUUUCCUGAUCUCUCCUUAUUGUUGUCUUGCUUGAUUAUCUGGUAAUAUCAUUGCACCUUGAUAUUUGUUGAUCCUCUGUUGAUCCUUGAAAGAGGGAUGUGUUUUCCUCAUAAUCCAUUUGUUGAUGGAAUCAGAGUAUUUUGGAGGAACUCAUGAAAAGCCAUGAGUGUAUUGUCUUUGACCGAUACUUCAGUGGUCCUAAUGUUGAUUCAAACACACAUCCAUCUAUAUUGGUGUCACGACGGCAAACUUAUUGUACCGGUCACGGUUCAGAUGCAGCCGAUGUAACUUAAGUAUGCCCAGAAGAUGUCAUCCAAGAAUAGGCUGGACCAGUGGGUGGGAAACGACUAGAGAUUUUAAUGUAUUUUGUCUAUUUGUAUAUGUAAAGAAAUUUCUGUAGUCAAUAUAUAUGAGCUUUUGUGAUCCA